rnacentral:lncRNA from 1 species
CAGUGAGUUUGGAAUCCUACAUCCUAUUCUUUGAGGAUUACCCCUAUUGAUCUAAGAACAUCCCACUGGGCUCCCUCUCUUUAUUGUCAACCACUUCCCACGACCACACUGACAACCAAGCUUCUACCAUAUGAACCUUUUGGGAGACAAGAAAGUAAAGGUUUCUGCCAAGUAAAAACACAUGAAAAAAACAUAAUUGGAG